CUUGCCGGACCUACUCCUUUGAGUAUAUGUUUAAAACUAUCAUUUCGAUGACCUUCAGAAGCACAAUGACUUAAUGAUGCAGGACCUCUUUAAUUAAAUCUUCAGUAUUAUCGGUCCUCGUAUCUUUCUGUUUACAUUCACCAAAAGCCCGCGGAAAUCUCACAUGCGUAGGUGCGUUCUAAAAGUCAUGUACGUUCGUACAACAAAGUUUACAUUAAAAAUUAUAUAAUUGUCCCGAAUAAACAGCUGUCAUGGAUGCAAAGAGCUAUUGGAGAAACAAUUAUUUUAAUUAAAUAUAAAUCUUUGUAAGAUCUAGUUCAAAUAUUUAUAGUUUUUCACUAGCUUUCCAUCACGAUAUAAUUAACGAGACGUUUUUUCAAACACAACAAAUCACCCACCAUGACAGCAUUUUGUCCAAUCACAGAAAGGAUUUUCGAGCAUGCGUAUUCUGUUGCCAUAAUUAAGCGUCCUUAAGUUCCAAGGGCAAAAACCGAAACAAUACC
rnacentral:lncRNA from 1 species